GACGAACGCUGGCGGCGUGCCUAAUACAUGCAAGUAGAACGCACAGUUUAUACCGUAGCUUGCUACACCAUAGACUGUGAGUUGCGAACGGGUGAGUAAUGCGUAGGUAACCUGCCUGGUAGCGGGGGAUAACUAUUGGAAACGAUAGCUAAUACCGCAUAAUAUUAAUUAUUGCAUGAUAAUUAAUUGAAAGGUGCAAUUGCACCUCUACCAGAUGGACCUGCGUUGUAUUAGCUAGUAGGUGAGGUAACGGCUCACCUAGGCGACGAUACAUAGCCGACCUGAGAGGGUGGUCGGCCACACUGGGACUGAGACACGGCCCAGACUCCUACGGGAGGCAGCAGUAGGGAAUCUUCGGCAAUGGACGAAAGUCUGACCGAGCAACGCCGCGUGAGUGAAGAAGGUUUUCGGAUCGUAAAGCUCUGUUGUAAGAGAAGAACGGGUGUGAGAGUGGAAAGUUCACACUGUGACGGUAUCUUACCAGAAAGGGACGGCUAACUACGUG
rnacentral:rRNA from 1 species